CCUGGCUCAGAUUGAACGCUGGCGGCAGGCCUAACACAUGCAAGUCGAGCGGUAGAGAGAAGCUUGCUUCUCUUGAGAGCGGCGGACGGGUGAGUAAUGCCUAGGAAUCUGCCUGGUAGUGGGGGAUAACGUUCGGAAACGGACGCUAAUACCGCAUACGUCCUACGGGAGAAAGCAGGGGACCUUCGGGCCUUGCGCUAUCAGAUGAGCCUAGGUCGGAUUAGCUAGUUGGUGAGGUAAUGGCUCACCAAGGCGACGAUCCGUAACUGGUCUGAGAGGAUGAUCAGUCACACUGGAACUGAGACACGGUCCAGACUCCUACGGGAGGCAGCAGUGGGGAAUAUUGGACAAUGGGCGAAAGCCUGAUCCAGCCAUGCCGCGUGUGUGAAGAAGGUCUUCGGAUUGUAAAGCACUUUAAGUUGGGAGGAAGGGCAGUUACCUAAUACGUGAUUGUUUUGACGUUACCGACAGAAUAAGCACCGG
rnacentral:rRNA from 1 species